GGGCCCGCACAAGCGGUGGAGCAUGUGGUUUAAUUCGAUGAUACGCGAGGAACCUUACCAGGGCUUAAAUGUAACGGGACAGAUCUAGAGAUAGAUCCUUCUUCGGACUACCUACAAGGUGCUGCAUGGUUGUCGUCAGCUCGUGCCGUGAGGUGUCAGGUUAAGUCCUAUAACGAGCGCAACCCCUGUCGUUAGUUACCAGCAAUUAAAGUUGGGUACUCUAGCGAGACUGCCGGUGCAAACCGUGAGGAAGGUGGGGAUGACGUCAAAUCAUCACGGCCCUUACGUCCUGGCUACACACGUGCUACAAUGGCCGGUACAGAGAGCAGCCACUACGCGAGUAGGAG
rnacentral:rRNA from 1 species